UACACACCGCCCGUCACGCCAUGGGAGUGGAUUGCACCAGAAGUAGGUAGGUUAACCGCAAGGGGGCCGCUUACCACGGUGUGCUUCAUGACUGGGGUG
rnacentral:rRNA from 1 species